rnacentral:rRNA from 1 species
GGAAUAUUGCACAAUGGGGGAAACCCUGAUGCAGCGACGCCGCGUGAGCGAAGAAGUAUUUCGGUAUGUAAAGCUCUAUCAGCAGGGAAGAAAAAUGACGGUACCUGAGUAAGAAGCCCAGGCUAACUACGUGCCAGCAGCCGCGGUAAUACGUAGGGGGCAAGCGUUAUCCGGAUUUACUGGGUGUAAAGGGAGCGUAGACGGCAUAGCAAGUCUGAAGUGAAAGGCUGGGGCUCAACCCCGGGACUGCUUUGGAAACUGUUAGGCUGGAGUGCAGGAGAGGUAAGUGGAAUUCCUAGUGUAGCGGUGAAAUGCGUAGAUAUUAGGAGGAACACCAGUGGCGAAGGCGGCUUACUGGACGAUUACUGACGCUGAGGCUCGAAAGCGUGGGGAGCAAACAGG